ACAAAGGAAGGCUCUGUACCUGAAGAUUCUUUCUCUUGGGUUGUUUUGUUAGCCCUGAUUCUUUGCACAAGUCUUCUCUUUCCUUCUGGAGAGGGUCUGCGUCUUCCCAGGCUGUCUUUUUAUCACUGAAAUGCCUGUAGAAUUCCAGGGCUUUAUCUCGUGUUGCUCUGCCAAGCUGUUUCCUGAAGAGUUCAAGGUCUGUUCUCCUGAAGUGCAGAGGACAAAGUUCAACAUAGCAUUUCUUGUGAGUUCUUGUACUACUUGGACAAAGAAGUUAUCAUCAAAGCUUUCCAGGAACCUCUUUGAUUUCUGGUGCCCUGCUGUACUGUCCCUCCAGCAGAUGACAGAGUGGUUGAAGUCCCUCAUGAGGAUCAUGUUAUGUGAGUGUGAAGCUGCUACUAUGUGUUUAUAAGUGUUCAUCCACUUGACCUUCCUGGUUGGUUGCCUGUGGCAGACUCUCACUAUGCUGUCUCUUUCCCCUGCCUUCCCUUAACCCUCAUCCGUAAGUGCUAUCAUCAGUCUUAGCUUAUCAUCAAUCCCCAGAUUGAGCUCUAUGGUCUCCAACUGGUGGCUGAUGUAGAGGGCAACACUCCCUUCCCUUCUCCUCCACUUGUCUUUCAUAAAGAGUACAUGUCUAUUCCUAUAUUCCAGAUGUGAGAGCCAUCUCACCACAUCUCAGUCAUACCAAUCAGUAGGUACACCUGCAACUCUCCUUGCUUGUUCCCCAUGCUCCAUGCAAUAAUGUACUGACGUUUGAGUUGGGCUCUUAUUGAAGCUGAUUACCAAUUGGAGUUCCGUUACCCUUCACCUUAGAUAAUGUC